AACGUAGGGGACAAGCGUUAUCCGGAUUUACUGGGCGUAAAGCGCCCGUAGGCGGCCUGACAAGUUGGACGUGAAAGCUCCUGGCUUAACUGGGAGAGGCCGUUCAAAACUGUCAAGCUAGAGUCUGGAAGAGGAGAGCGGAAUUCCCGGUGUAGUGGUGGAAUGCGUAGAGAUCGGGAGGAACACCAGUGGCGAAAGCGGCUCUCUGGUCCAAAACUGACGCUGAAGCGCGAAAGCUAGGGGAGCGAACGGG
rnacentral:rRNA from 1 species